rnacentral:rRNA from 1 species
AUGUCCAAGCAGCGGGGUCGCCGCCGGCGCCAAACCCGUUACCCCCCUGAUGGGUUAAUUGCUGGUUCUUCAAGGGGUAAAAGAAUAAUGGCCUCGUCCUGCCAACAAGAUUGUGUUCCAGGUGGAUCAGCUUAUGCAAAUGGCCAGGCAAACACAGAGGCCCCGCCCUGCCAACAAGAUUUUGUUCCAGGUGGAUCAGGUUAUGCAAAUGGCCAGGCAAAAACAGAGGCCUUGCCCUGCCAACAAGAUCGUCCUCCAGGUGAAUCAACUUGUACAAAUGGCCAGGCAAAAACAGAGGCCUCACCCUGCCAACAAGGUGAUACCAGUCAAACAGAGGAGUGUUCAGUGCCAAAUCUUCCUGAGGACAUCUGGCAUCAUAUACAUUCCUUAAUGCCAUUGAAAGAUGCUGCCAGAGCCGCCUGCCUGUCCCGGUCCUUUUUGUCUUCCUGGAGGUGCCAUUCGAUCCUCAUUUUGAACAGGGAAGCAUUUGGGUUGGACGUAUGUGCGGAUUACACGGAAACAGCUAGAGCUUUUAGAGACAAAAUUGACCACAUUCUGGGAAACCACUCGGGCACUGGCGUGAGAAUACUGAAACUUCGGUUUGUUCCAAAUGGCAAAGCGAAGGACCGUGAUUAUAUCGACAAAUGGCUUCAUAAGGCUGUUAAACCAGGAAUUGAAGAACUCACCCUUACUAUGCCUAUGUCUAUGAGCAACAAACGCAGAUACAAGUUCCCGUGCACACUUAUAUUGAAUGGGCUGGGAAACUCGCUUCGGUGUCUUUACCUUUCCAGCUGUUCCUUUCAUCCUAUGGCUGGGCUCUGUGGCUUGACAAGCCUGACAAAGUUAGAGCUGUUAAUGGUGGAAAUUACGGGGGACGAGCUAAGCUGCCUUGUUUCCAGUUCCCAAGCUUUAGAGCAGGUUUUACUUAGGGAUUGCAGUGAGGUAAACUGCUUGAGGAUACCUUGCCAUCUUGAGCGGUUAAGCCACUUGAAGGUGUUACAUUGCAGCAAGCUGGGAUUGAUAGAGAGCAAAGCUCCAAAUCUCUCCAGUUUUCACUUUGCAGGUAACCUCAAGGUUCGAGUCUCACUUGGAGAAGCAUUGCAAGUGAAGAGCUUACUAGUGAACAUCACCACAUCGAUCUGUUACACUCAAGCAGAGCUGGUGUCGAGCACGCCAAGCAGGGAGUUGGUCUCACCAAUGGUACCUAGCAAACUUGCUGACCUGAAUUCUCUGAGUAUCUAUCUUCAAGGAUUGCCCUUUGGUUGGGGCUUUGAUUUUUUUCCUCUGGCUUCUCUUUCGUUGGAGACUUUCAUCUCACAUGUAUCCAAUGAACUCAUGCAGCAUGUGCUAGUUUUCAAGGGCGUUGUGUCCCCAAGGAAUAAGAGUCUUGUUGAGCUAGCAUGUCAUAUUGUCAGGGCCUGGCUGAGCUAA